rnacentral:misc_RNA from 1 species
CAACCACUAGUGGAUAACAAUGGCUACAAACCUACAUUUCCCAUUCUUCUAACAGAUGGCAUUGCCAAGUACAUCGAUCCUACAGAAAAAGAAAACAACCCAGAGAUGACUGAACAACUAGGAUUGCCCAAGAGAACUGGCAGAGCCUCAAUUUGCACAACAUCACAUCGGAUCCCAGUAGCUCCAGCGCCAAGGCGCAACUCA